rnacentral:lncRNA from 1 species
UGGUGGAUGUAGCGGUGAAUGUGGAAACAUGGUGAAAGCAGCUAUGGCUAGUGGUUGCGGUAGUGGUUGUAGUGGUGAAUGUGGAGACAUGAUGAAAGCAACAAACGCCAGUGGUUGCGGUAGUGGUUGUAGUGGUGAAUGCGGAGAAAUGAUGAAAGCAGCAAACGCCAGCGGUUGCGGUAGUGGUUGCAGUGGAGAAUGCGGAGAAAUGAUGAAAGCAACAAAGGCCAGCGGCUGUGGUGGUGGUUGCAGUGGUGAAUGUGGAGACAUGGUGAAAGCAGCAAAGGCCAGCGGCUGCGGAGGUGGUUGUAGUGGAGAAUGUGGAG